rnacentral:rRNA from 1 species
AGUGAACGCUGGCGGUAGGCCUAACACAUGCAAGUCGAACGGCAGCACAGGAGAGCUUGCUCUCUGGGUGGCGAGUGGCGGACGGGUGAGGAAUACAUCGGAAUCUACUCUGUCGUGGGGGAUAACGUAGGGAAACUUACGCUAAUACCGCAUACGACCUACGGGUGAAAGCAGGGGAUCUUCGGACCUUGCGCGAUUGAAUGAGCCGAUGUCGGAUUAGCUAGUUGGCGGGGUAAAGGCCCACCAAGGCGACGAUCCGUAGCUGGGCUGAGAGGAUGAGCAGCCACACUGGAACUGAGACACGGACCAGACUCGUACGGAAGGCAGCAGUGGGGAAUAUUGGACAAUGGGCGCAAGCCUGAUCCAGCCAUACCGCGUGGGUGAAGAAGGCCUUCGGGUUGUAAAGCCCUUUUGUUGGGAAAGAAAUCCAGCUGGCUAAUACCCGGUUGGGAUGACGGUACCCAAAGAAUAAGCACCGGCUAACUUCGUGCCAGCCGCCGGUAA